rnacentral:rRNA from 1 species
UACGAGGGGGGCGAGCGUUGUUCGGAAUUAUUGGGCGUAAAGGGCGCGUAGGCGGUCGGAUAAGUCUUGUGUGAAAUCUUCGGGCUCAACUCGAAGUCUGCACAGGAAACUAUCUGGCUUGAGUGUGGGAGAGGUGAGUGGAAUUCCUGGCGUAGCGGUGAAAUGCGCAGAUAUCAGGAGGAACACCGGUGGCGAAGGCGGGUCUCUGGGCGAGUAACUGACGCUGAGGAGCGAAAGCGUGGGGAGCGAACAGG